CCUACGGGAGACAGCAGUGGGGAAUAUUGCACAAUGGGGGAAACCCUGCUGCAGCGACGCAGCGUGAGUGAAGAAGUAAUUCGUUAUGUACAGCUCUAUCAGCAGGGAAGAAAAUGACGGUACCUGAGUAAGAAGCACCGGCUAACUACGUGCCCGCAGCCGCGGUAAUCCGUAGGGGGAAAGCGUUAUCCGGAUUUACUGGGUGUAAAGGGAGCGUAGACGGCAGUGCAAGUCUGGAGUGAAAGGCGGGGGAGCAACCCCCGGACUGCUCUGGAAACUGUACGGCUGGAGUGCAGGAGAGGUAAGUGGAAUUCCUAGUGUAGCGGUGAAAUGCGUAGAUAUUAGGAGGAACACCAGUGGCGAAGGCGGCUUACUGGACUGUAACUGACGUUGAGGCUCGAAAGCGUGGGGAGCAAACAGGAUUAGAUACCCUAGUAGUC
rnacentral:rRNA from 1 species